rnacentral:rRNA from 1 species
ACCGGCAAACGGGUGCGUAACACGUAUAUAACAUGCCCUAUACAGGAGGAUAGUCAUGAGAAAUCAGGAAUAAUACUCCAUAGUUAUCAUAGGAGGCAUCUUUUAUGGUAUAAGGAUUUAUUGGUAGAGGAUUGGUAUGCGCAUGAUUAGUUAGUUGGUAAGGUAACGGCUUACCAAGGCAUCGAUCAUUAGGGGUCCUGAGAGGGAGAUCCCCCACACUGGUACUGAGACACGGACCAGACUCCUACGGGAGGCAGCAGUGAGGAAUAUUGGGCAAUGGAGGCAACUCUGACCCAGCCAUGCCGCGUGCAGGAUUAAGGCCCUAUGGGUUGUAAACUGCUUUUGUAUAGGAAGAAUAAGACUCACGUGUUGGGUCGAUGACGGUACUAUACGAAUAAGGAUCGGCUAACUCCGUGCCAGCAGCCGCGGUAAUACGGAGGAUUCGAGCGUUAUCCGGAUUCAUUGGGUUUAAAGGGUCUGUAGGCGGGUUUAUAAGUCAGUAGUGAAAUACUGGGGCUCAACCCCAGCACUGCUAUUGAAACUGUAGGUCUUGAGUAUAACAGAAGUUGGCGGAAUGUGUGGUGUAGCGGUGAAAUGCAUAGAGAUCACACAGAACACCAAUUGCGAAGGCAGCUGACUAUGUAUAUACUGACGCUGAGAGACGAAAGCGUGGGGAGCGAACAGGAUUAGAUACCCUGGUAGUCCACGCCGUAAACGAUGAUAACUAGUUGUUGGGCAUUAGCUCAGUAACCAAGCGAAAGUGAUAAGUUAUCCACCUGGGGAGUACGUUCGCAAGGAUGAAACUCAAAGGAAUUGACGGGGGCCCGCACAAGCGGAGGAGCAUGUGGUUUAAUUCGAUGAUACGCGAGGAACCUUACCUGGGCUUAAAUGUAGAGUGCUGUAUUUAGAGAUAGAUAUUUCUUCGGACGCUUUACAAGGUGCUGCAUGGUUGUCGUCAGCUCGUGCCGUGAGAUGUUAGGUUAAGUCCUGCAACGAGCGAAACCCUUAUCGUAUGUUGCCAUCAGGUUAUCUGAGGACUCUAAUGAAACUGCCGCCGCAAGGCGUGAGGAAGGUGGGGAUGACGUCAAAUCAGCACGGCCCUUACGGCUUGGGCUACACACGUGCUACAAUGGACAUUACAGACGGUUGCCAACCCGCGAGGGGGAGCUAAUCUGAGAAAGGUGUUCGUAGUCCGGAUUGCAGUCUGCAACUCGAGAGCAUGAAGUUGGAAUCGCUAGUAAUCGUGCAUCAGCAUGUCACGGUGAAUACGUUCCCGGGUCUUGUACACACUGCCCGUCACACCAUGGGAGUUGGUUGCAAAAGAAGUAGGUAGUCUAACUUAUGAGGACGCUUACCACUUUGUGGUCAAUGACUGGGGUGAAGUCGUAACAAGGUAGCC